CCAGUAUCACCUGCCCUUCUCUGUUGCUUCUUUCCUUCUUCCACUCAUCAAUCGCAGUAAUCCUUCGGUUCUUCAGUUCUUCAGUCUUCCUCCUGUCUUCAUCUUUUUCGUUGGCGCUCCCAGCAUCAUACUGUUCCACUCUGAAGCGCCAUGAUUCCCUGAUCGAAGACACAAACACAACUCCGAGCAACACACAUGUAACUUUCACAUAUUCCAUGUACACAUAGACCCUCUGUUUCAUCAGUUCUCUGCACCAUCUUCCCGUGCCACCCACUUCUCCGGACACAAAUAACUCAAGAGCAGGAGGACGGUCCAGUAAACUUACCGGAUAAGGUCGCAAAUUCCUCUUUCUCGUGGAGAGCACACGCACAGUAUGAACACCAGGAAAUCCAAUUAACGGCAACCCAAGAUUAGUUGUCGUCAUCAUCUUUCCUGUGACCAACAGCAGAGCAAAUCUGGAACUUCGGUCGCAGCGGUAACAGAUCUGGUCAUGCUGAACUCCAGAUCUACCGAUCUGAGCACCCCGGCAAGGUAAAACAGCCGAUGUGACAGCAAAAGGGUGAAUUAAAGAAGCCAAGAAAUAAGCAAUGAAAGAAUAACCUAGCUGGCCCUGAGAUCUAACGUGCGGCGCUGCGCUAUGCCUGGAGGUAUGAGCCUUGUGGCAGCAGGUUAAGUUAGUUGGCGGCGCUCUCUUUGUGCGCGGCGGCGGGGACACCCGCCGCCGGCAGCGCUGGCUUCUCCUCGUGGAUGAAGAAAGCGUAGAAGCCCCCACAGGAGGUUGCCGCCGCCAUGGCCCAAACGACGAGUUUGACGGCGAGGGGCAUGAUUUCUGCAACCUUGUAGCUAAACAUGACGGUGAGCAGAGUCGUGAGCCCCCAUACGGCUGCCUUGACCGUCUCUCGCUUAGGGGAGUGGCGGUCCAGGCGCUCGUAGUAGCGCAGGCAGGCGAACAGGGCGACGAG
rnacentral:lncRNA from 1 species